rnacentral:rRNA from 1 species
CCUACUGGAGGCAGCAGUGAGGAAUAUUGGUCAAUGGGCGCGAGCCUGAACCAGCCAAGUAGCGUGAAGGAUGACUGCCCUACGGGUUGUAAACUUCUUUUAUAAAGGAAUAAAGUGAGGCACGUGUGCCUUUUUGUAUGUACUUUAUGAAUAAGGAUAGGCUAACUCCGUGCCAGCAGCCGCUGUAAUACGGAUGAUCCGAGCGUUAUCCGGAUUUAUUUGGUUUAAAGGGAGCGUCGAUGGGUUGUUAAGUCAGUUGUGAAAGUUUGCUGCUCAACCGUAAAAUUGCAAUUGAUACUGGCAGUCUUUCGUACAUUUGAGGUAGGCGGAAUUCGUGGUGUCGCGGUGAAAUGCUUAGAUAUCACGAAGAACUCCGAUUGCGAAGGCAGCUUACUAAACUGCCACUGACAUUGAUGCUCGAAAGUGUGGGUAUCAAACAGGAUUAGAUACCCGUGUAGUC